rnacentral:rRNA from 1 species
AGUGAACGCUGGCGGUAGGCCUAACACAUGCAAGUCGAACGGCAGCACAGUAAGAGCUUGCUCUUACGGGUGGCGAGUGGCGGACGGGUGAGGAAUACAUCGGAAUCUACUUUUUCGUGGGGGAUAACGUAGGGAAACUUACGCUAAUACCGCAUACGACCUACGGGUGAAAGCAGGGGAUCUUCGGACCUUGCGCGAUUGAAUGAGCCGAUGUCGGAUUAGCUAGUUGGCGGGGUAAAGGCCCACCAAGGCGACGAUCCGUAGCUGGUCUGAGAGGGUGAUCGGCCACACUGGAACUGAGACACGGCCCAGACUCCUACGGGAGGCAGCAGUGGGGAAUAUUGGACAAUGGGCGAAAGCCUGAUCCAGCCAUACCGCGUGGGUGAAGAAGGCCUUCGGGUUGUAAAGCCCUUUUGUUGGGAAAGAAAAGCAGCAGGAUAAUACCCCGCUGUUCUGACGGUACCCAAAGAAUAAGCACCGGCUAACUUCGUG